UUCAGGAUCUUCUUCAUCUGCAUUUCCUUGCCAGCCCAAAUACAGACUUAGUGCACAUUUGCCAGAAGGAAGGAAGGAGAAAAGCUGCCUGGAGGUAUAUCUGUGGAGCACGGAGAUUAGGAGGAGCCAAUCACACCUCUAGAUUGAAGAAGUGAGGAGGAAGAAGGAACAGAUUCAAGAGCCAGUUCCAAGAAAGAACAGACAAGGGCUCUCACAGGGAACCAGCUACCCAUCUCCUCAAGUUUGGCCCUCAGGCUGCUGGAUUUUCUGUAAGAAGUCACCAGCUUGUCAGAUAUCUCACCUCACAUCUUCCAAGCUGAGUCUCUUUCCACUGCACCCCCAGAAAAUACAGCUACCUUUAACCUUCUUCCAAGGAAUCUUCCUGCAAAUUCAGUUACCAUGGUGAUAGAC
rnacentral:lncRNA from 1 species